GCCAGUGGGUCUGGUGACGAAUAUGUAGCGAGGGCCAGCCGACUAGAGCAUACAGGUCGCAGUGGUGGGUGGUAUAAGGUGCUUUAUUAACAAAACGGAUGGCACAGUGAUAAACUGCAUCCAGUUUGCUGAGUAGAGUAUUGGAAGCUAAUUUUGUAGAUGACAUCGCCGAAGUCGAGGAAUCGGUGGGAUAGUCAGUUUUACUAGGGUGUCAACACAAUGUGAUCAUCAGAUUCCAAACAAAGAUUACCUGUACUCUGUUGAAGUGUGCUGACAAGAAGGAAGAUUGAGCAGGAGCAAAGAUCCUAAUUUUCCAGAAUAUUUGGCCAUUGUGUACAAUGUACAGAACCACAACGUUUGUGGCAGACGCCCUCAGGCAUAGGGAUUUGGGGGCCAAAGCCAUAGAGACACUGACCCAACUCUUUGAAAUCGGGCACUCCCCCUCAUCUCCCUGACGGUCCUGAAGAACGACCUGCAGAUUUAGUACAGAGAGGACUACAUCUUCACCUCUGUCGAGACCUCCAGUUCUGUUACCGUAACUUUAUUAUGAUAAAACCAAGACAUGGGGAGGAGCUGCCACGCGGAGCUACCAACCCGAUGGAACAACUUUGUGGAGGCAGCAAUGCGGGUCCUUAUGGAUAAAAACCCUCUAGAGGAUGAAAGUGUUCAAUCUCCCUGCCUUAUUUGACCGGCCCGGAGGCCUAUUAUGAGGCACGGGUGACUGAUGUUGCCCUUGACGGCAGGGAAACAUUCCAUCUCUCUUGUUUUCUGGCCCAGGAAAGCAACAUCAGCCCAUCUGACAUUGAGCAGGUGGGGGAGAAGCAGUACAGGGUGAAGGACACCACACCAGGCCAGACCUAUACUGUGGACAUAGAGAUGGACCUCUGCACUUUUCCAGUAGGGCACACAGGAGCUCCAUGCAAGCACCAGGCUGCUGUGGUUCAGAUAUACAAAUGCCUGUCCAUCAACUUCCUCCCGGCAACACCGGAGAUGAGGGCUGAGAAGCUAAAGAUAACAUAAGUUAAAAUAGUGGCUAUUAAUUAUUGUUUAUGGUUAGAAAAUAAUUUCAAUGUGAAUAUUUUAUGUACCAAAGCAGAGUGCUGAGGUUGAUUAAAUAUCUCUUACAGCAACAAUACCUCUGGAUUUUCUGCAGCAAAUGAGACAGCCAAGUCAGCCAUUAGAUGACAUUCUGCCUGAUUCGCCUGACCUGGUGGAAGACAUGCCAAAGGAGUUCAGUUCCUUGACCAAGGAUGACUACUACAGUGACACCCUGGUAGCAAUGGCAAAGCAAUACAGAGCAAUGAAAGCAAAUCCAUCAAGGCUGCUGUCUGCAGUGCAUUGCUUCGGCAAAGCCCAUGUCAGCCCAGCAGCCAAGAAAGCAACUGCACUACAACAAGCAGCUAGAUGUCCCAACCCCAAGAUCCCCUGUCAGCCUACUGCAGUUGGCCUUAGAGCGAGCAAGGUUGGAUCGAAGAGUUGUCUGACUGCUGGACGUCCAAAACCCGGAACAGCGGUCCUGAGCACAUUUACUGCUUAGACAAAAAGAGGAAAAGGCCUGCCAUGUUUGGGCAUCACAAGUUGUCUGAGUCUGUGGCAAUGAAUUGUUCACGUGAGGAGUUAGUUCGUUUUUAUGUGGUUGCUUUAAGUUGUCUAUUUAUGGUGUUUGAUAUUCUGUUGUCAUAAAAUCCGUAAAGAGAGCAUACAUGGAUGCAUUGUCUUACUAGCCGCUGAAGAUAGGCAUACUAGUUCAUUAAAUAGCAUGCCGUCACCUAGCCCAUUUCCUAGAUCACAGUGGAACUCUGGUCUAGCUGUUUAACAUUUAGCCACCUUGCGAGUUAUUUCAAAUCAAAUUUUAUUUGUCACAUGCAGAGAAGACCUUACAGUGAAAUGCUUACUUACAAGCCCUUAAAACCUCUUUUGGAAAAAUAACAUUCCCAAAGUAAACUGGAUAUUUUGUCAGGACAAGAUGCUAGAAUAUGCAUAUAAUUGACAGCUUAGGAUAGAAAACACUCUAAAGUUUCCAAAACUGUAAAAAUAUUGUGAGUAUAACAGAACUGAUAUUGCAGGCGAAAGCCUGAGAAAAAUCCAAUCUGGAAGUGACUCAUGUUUUGAAAGCUCUGCGUUCCAAUGGGUCCCUAUUGAGCAGUGAAUGGGCUAUCAACCAGAUUACUUUUUCUACGUAUUCCCCAAGGUGUCUACAGCAUUGUGACGUUUUACGCCUUUAUGUUGAAGAAUACCCGUAAGCGGCUACAUUGUGUAAGUGGUCACCUGAUGGCUCUCGGAGUGAUUCUCACGUAAAAUACAGAGGUAGCCAUUUUUCCUUUCGCUCCUACUGAAAAACCAAUUGUCCCUGUGGAUAUAUUAUCAAAUAGAUAUUUGAAAAACACCUUGAGGAUUGAUUAUAAACAACAUUUGCCAUGUUUCUGUUGAUAUUAUGGAGCUAAUUUGGAAUAUUUUUCAGCGUUGUCGUGACUGCAAUUUCCGGUCGAUUUCUCAGCCAAAACGUGAAGAACAAACGGCGCUAUUUCGCCUACAAAAAUAAUAUUUUGGGAAAAAAGGAACAUUUGCUAUCUAACUGGGAGUCUCAUGAGUGAAAACAUCUGAAGCUCAUCAAAGGUAAACAAUUUAAUUUGAUUGCUUUUCUGAUUUUCGUGACCAAGUUACCUGCUGCUAGCUGGAUAAAAUGCUAUGCUAGGCUAUCGAUAAACUUACACAAAUGCUUGUCUUGCUUUGGCUGUAAAGCAUAUUUUGAAAAUCUGAGAUGACAGGGUGAUUAACAAAAGACUAAGAUGUGUUUCAAUAUAUUUCACUUGUGAUUUUCAUGAAUAGGAAUAUUUUCUUGUAAUAUUUAUGUGCGUUGCAUUAUGCUAAUUAGGGUCAGUUGAUUAUUACGCUCCCGGACCCGGGAUGGGGUGUUACAACAGGGGUGGGGUGUUACAACCAACAAUGCAGUUAAGAAAAAUACCACAAAAAAAUAAAUAAAAUUAACAAAUAAUUAAAGAGCAGCAGUAAAAUAACAAUAGCGAGCCAAUAUACAGGGGGUACCGGUACAGGGUCAAUGUGCGAACGCACCGACCGGUACCUGUUUGGUGAUGCUUUUCCCACGUCUGAGAGAAUAUCCAAGGUUUGUGGGCGGUUCUGAUAAGGAAUGCAUCGCUUGCGUUGCCCAAGAAAGAAUGAAAUCCAGUUGUUAGAUUCUACCACCACCCUCCAAAUCAACACCCAACAUUGAUGUCAAUGUUUGCGCAUGCACAUGCUUCAUUCUUCUUCCUGACGUGGUAAAAUCAUCGCCAAACAAGCAAACCAAACUACCAUUUCCAUAAACAAACAAAAAUACUCUUACAAUAUGAACAAUACAGUUCAUAAAUAAUACUUUUACACAACUCUACAUUAGAGUGCUUCAUACAUUAAGUCAUCUAUAGGUAUUUGCUGGAUAAAGCCCCGCCUUAUCUCAGCUCACUGGUCACCAUAACACCCACCCGUAGCAUGCGCACCAGCAGGUAUAUUGCACUGGUCAUCCCCAAAGCCAACACUUACCUUGGCCACCUUUCCUUCCAGUUUUCUGCUGCCAAUGACUGCAACGAAUUGGAAAAAUCUCUGAAGCUGGAGUCUUUUAUCUCCUUCUCUAACUUUAAGCAUUAGCUGUCAGAGCAGCUUACCGAUCACUACCUGUACACAGCCAAUCUGUAAAUAGUAUGCUAAAUUGUAAUUAUUUUUGCCUCUAUGGCCUAUUUAUUUCCUACCUCCCUACAUUUGCACACACUGUACAUAGAUAUUUCUAUUUUUGUUUUCUUUUGUAUUAUUGACUACGUGUGUUUGUGUAACUCUGUGUUGUUGUAUGUGUCGAACUGCUAUGCUUUAUCUUGGCCAGGUCGCAGUUGCAAAUGAGAACUUGUUCUCAACUAGCCUACCUGGUUAAAUAAAGGUGAAAUACAUUUUUAAAAAGAGAGAAAGAAUGGGCCCACACGCGUUUAUCGAAGGAAGAAUGAUUACUGGGUAACUCUGUUGAUAUGAACCAUACUGGAACUUUGAGUACUGCCAGGAGUACAUUUAAUGUACUGCCACGAGUUAAUGUACGGUGCAAACUACAAUUUAUGAACACUUGCCAACAAAAAAAAAGUGAAAAAGAGAUUUGUUAUACUGUUAACCACAGCUACCUCAGCUGAGCGUAGUUUUCCGUUGGAGUAACCCUCAAGGUUCACGGUUUUAUUUUCACAUUACUACUUCUGUUAUCUAGUUGUUUUUUUUAAAUGCAGGAGUUCGUUUUCAACUCACUCAAUAUCGUUAGUCUGAAUGCUAGGGGUUUGAGAUCUUACAGAAAGGAAAGCCUUAUUUUUAUUUUGUUAACGCAGAUUUUGUCCUUCGGGAAACUCAUUCUUGUGAUUUGAAAUUUUGGAAAUCACAAUGGGGAGACAUGGCCUAUUUCAGUCAUGUAUCAAACCAUUCUGCUGGUGCUUUCACAAGUUUAAAGGUAACAUUCUAGAAUCAACAUCUUCACAGGAUGGGAGAUGGGUCAUUGUAACUGUUAAACAAUCCCAAUGCUAUUUUGAUCAUUUGUAAUGUAUAUGGACAUAACUCACAUGCUCCAAAUAAGACCAAAAUUACAGGAUUUACGCUACAAAUACUCAAGAGGCUUUUCUAAUUAUUUCAGGGGAUUUGAAUGAAACACCUGAUGAAUCUGUUGGUCGUUUUCCUCCUAGAACGAGUUAAAGCCUUCAAAAUAGCAAUAUCAUCACUACGUUAUGCAAGGAUCUCUCUGUUGAUGAGGCCUGGCAUUAAUUUCAAUCCAGAUGCAAAGGGUUAUACCUGGACCAACAAAACUGUCACGUUUUGUUACAAUUUAUAGAUGUAGAUCAUCAGUUGGCUCCCUUUUCUGAUCAUCACUUGAUUUCCCUGAAUUUACAAGCUACUAAAAAAAUCUAAAGGUUCUCGAGGAUAUUUGAAAUUAAACAACACGCUUCUUGAAGAUCAUAUUCUCAUCGGAAACAUCAUCGUUAACCAAAUAUAUUUUUGCAAGAAAAGACUUGGGUCAUGGAAGUAGAUGGGAAUUUUUCAAAUAUAAAGUUGUAGCAAUUAAACGUGCCAAAGAGCUGAUGCACUUAAAUAACCUUAGAGAAAAAGAGUUGAGCAAGCCUGACAAUUUUCUAAAGAAAGAUAAUCAAUCUCAAGAAGAGUCUGUAUUUAAAUCUUUACAACUAGAAUUAGAACAGCUUUACAUGGCUCUGGCAAAGGGUGCCUUUGUCAGAUCAAGAGCAAAAUGGAUUGAAGAGGGGGAAAGAAACACUAGUUACUUUUUUGCACUUGAAAAGAGAAACUACAAAAGAAAAUCUAUUACUGCACUCAAAAUGAAUUUGUUAUUCAAAUAUCCCAUUACAAUAUCAACAUUUGUCAAUUCCUUUUAUGAAAACCUUGACAACUCACAAUGUCAGGAAGAUGGUUGUGAAAUCUACAGAAUUAUGUCCCUGUAAUUGAGGAUGAUUUCCACUCCGUUUGCGAUUCACCUGUGUCAAUUGAAGAAAUUAGAGAGGCUCUGAAGACAAUGAAAAAAGGGAAAUCACCUGGCCCUGAUGGCCUGUCAGUUGAAUUCUAUAGACAGUUUUGGGAGUUACUAGAAGGCAGUAUUUUUAAUGUUUCAAGAAUGCAUUGAAAAUGGUUUUCACUAUGAAACAGGGCCUUAUUUCAUUGAUUCUGAAGCCCGACAAAGACCCAUCUCUCAUUGACAAUUGGAGACCAAUUACUUUAUUAAAUAUUGAUUACAAAUUGAUUGCUCUGGUUUAUGCCAAAAUAUUAAAGAAAGGAAUAGAUACCAUUAUAAAUGAGACUCAAACAGGAUUUAUGAAGGGUCACACAAACUCUAACAUUUGUUUAGUCUUGAACCUUCUAGAUUGUUCAGAUGCAAUUGACUUGGAUGCGGUUGUCUUAUUUUUGGAUUUCUGUAAAGCCUUUGACACAAUUGAACAUGAAUUUCUAUUAGGUCACUUAAACUGUUUGGCUUCGGGGAAAAUUUUAUCAAAGUAAUUUGUACGUUUUACAAAGAUGUAAAUAGUUGUGUUAUUAAACCUUAAUACAUCCAAAAGAUUCAAUAUCAACAGAAGUGUACAACAGGGAUGCCAUUUUUAUUCAAUUUGGUUGUAGCACUUCUAUCUCUAGAUAUUCUGAAUAAUGCAAAUCUGGAUGGCUUAACCAUUUUUAACAAAGAAAUCAACAUUUCCCAACUGGCUGAUGAUACUACUUUUUUCUAAAGAGACAGACCAGGUUGUCCAUGCCCUUAAUGCUAUCACUGCAUUCUCUAUUGCAUCAGGAUUAAACUGAAUGUUUCUAAAUGUGAAAUCUUGUGUUUAUAUGAUUCUGAUGAUAAAGAAAUAGAAAAUAUUCCUGUAAAGGACUGUUACAUAUUUAGGAAUACAUCUGUCAAAGAAACACUUAGUCAGACAUGAAUCUAUCCUAAAAUUAAGAAAACAAAAAAUAUAUUUCAUAAUUGGCUACAAAGGUAUAUUUCUAUACUUGUGAGAGUACUUCUGUCCAAGGCAGAGGGACUGUCUCGCUUUGUGCACCCCUCAUUAUCUUUAUUUGUAAAUCCCUCUACUUGUAAAGAGAUCAACAAGACCUUUCUUGACUUCAUCUGGAAAAACAAGUGUCACAAACGAAAGUCAGUCUUCUAAUACAAGAGCUGAAGGUGGUCUGGAAGUGUUGGAAUUUGUUGACAUAACACUUUCAAGAUCAACUGGUUGAAAAGAUGCUUGAUCAAUACUGAUUCAAUAUGGUAUUUCAUUCCAAGGUCUUCAAUUUUUACUGAAGUGUAAUUAUAUUCCUGAAAGAUUACCUGCUAAAUUGGCUAGGUUUCACCAAUAAGCUUUAAUGGCCUGGAAAAUGUUUCCUGCACACUUUUUCCCCAAAUAAAGCUCUUUUGUGGAAUAUUUCAGACAUAACUGGAAGGAAAAAGUCAUUGUUCUACCCCAGCUGGCAUGAGAGGAAUAUUGACUUUGUUCUUGAUGUUUUUGACAACGGGUAAUAUUCUUACAUAUGAACAAUUUAUAACAUCGAAAGGUAUUGGGAACUCAUUCAGUUUAUUUCUGUGAUCAAAGCCAUUCCCAGUGGUCUACCUACACUAGUGAAAACUCAUCUUAGCUUUAGUAAUGAUCACAAAGCUUAUCCAAAACUCAGUUUGGAAGUUGUGGGCUUACUUGAGAAAUCUUGUAAUAAAUAUGACAAAUUUUCUGGAACAUGUCUGACUGGAAAAAAGCUUGGUUAAGGCCUUACAAAUAUUGUUCACCAAACAAAUUUAAGGAAGUGCACUUUAAAAUUCUACAUAAGAUAUAACUAUUUAAUUCUAUAAUGUCAACAUUUGUGGCUAUUGACGAUGUCUGCAUUUUAUGAAAAAGGUGAGAAUCUGACUCGCUUGUUCUUUGAGUGUAAAUUUGUCCUAAUUUUGGGAAAACCUUGCAGAAUACUUAUUUACCAUUAUGAACACUACCAAUGUUUUUGACAUUAUAUAAUGUUACUAUUGCAAUAACAAAACCAUUGAAAUGUUUGACUUUUUUCUUUCUUGUUGCCAAAUACUUUAUACAAACAAAAAUUCCAGAAUUCUAUACCAAAAUUACACUUAAUUUAAUUCAUAAGACAUUAUCCCUAGUGAAUAACAUCUUCCUGAAUCUUCCUGAAUCAUUGAGACAAUUGCACUAGAAUUGUUUUUUUUUAACCUUAUUUUCUUGUUAAUACUUGUCUUGUUAGACAUGUUUGAUGUAGCAAUGUAAGUUGAUUUUUGUGUUAUGAAUGAAAAAUAAAAUAAACAUUCGGCUUUA